ACAUUGAUAGCUUAAAUAUUAGAGCAUAGCACUGAAGAUGCUAGGGUAGCACAAUUGCUUCAAAGUA
rnacentral:tRNA from 1 species